rnacentral:rRNA from 1 species
GAUGAACGCUGGCGGUAUGCCUAAUACAUGCAAGUCGAGCGAACGGACGAGAAGUUUUCUCUUCUGAUGUUAGCGGCGGUCAGGAGAGUACCACGUGGUCAACCCACCUACAAGACUGGGUUAACUUUGGCGGACCUGAGCUAAUACCGGAUAAUAUUUUCCUCCACAUGGUCUAGAAGUGAAUGACGUUCUUGCUGUCACUUAUAGACGGCUCCGCACUGCUUUAUCUAGUUGGUAAGGUAACGGCUUACCAAAGCGACGAUGCAUGGCCGACCUGAGAGGGUGCACUGCCACACUGGAGCUGAGAACCGGCCCAGACUCCUACGGGAGGCAGCAGUAGGGAAUCUUCCGGAAUGGGCGAAAGCCUGACGGAGCAACGGCGCGUGAGUGAUGAAGGUCUUCGGAUCGUAAAACUCUGUUAUUAGGGAAGAACAUAUGUGUAAGUAACUGUGCACAUCUUGACGGUACCUAAGCAAAAAGCCACGGCUAACUACGUG